UACGUAGGGUGCAAGCGUUAAUCGGAAUUACUGGGCGUAAAGCGUGCGCAGGCGGCCAUGCAAGACAGAUGUGAAAUCCCCGGGCUCAUCCUGGGAACUGCAUUUGUGACUGCAUGGCUAGAGUACGGCAGAGGGGGAUGGAAUUCCGCGUGUAGCAGUGAAAUGCGUAGAGAUGUGGAGGAAUACCGAUGGCGAAGGCAGCCUCCUGGGAUAACACUGACGCUCAUGCACGAAAGCGUGGGGAGCAAACAGG
rnacentral:rRNA from 1 species